rnacentral:rRNA from 1 species
CAGCAGCCGCGGGAAUACAGAGGGUGCAAGCGUUAAUCGGAAUUACUGGGCGUAAAGCGCGCGUAGGUGGUUUGUUAAGUUGGAUGUGAAAUCCCCGGGCUCAACCUGGGAACUGCAUCCAAAACUGGCAAGCUAGAGUAUGGUAGAGGGUGGUGGAAUUUCCUGUGUAGCGGUGAAAUGCGUAGAUAUAGGAAGGAACACCAGUGGCGAAGGCGACCACCUGGACUGAUACUGACACUGAGGUGCAAAAGCGUGGGGAGCAAACAGGAUUAGAUACCCCCGUAGUCCCUGUCUCUUAUAC